GCUCUCUUCCUUUCUUCAGUGUCACACGUCCCUUUCCCACUUAAAUAAAAAAAAUAAAGAGAUGCCCCCAUCACUCACUUUUCGUGAAUGAAGGGCAACCAUGAACACUAACCACUUACUUACUCAAAGUAUUCAACUUCAACAAGUAGAUAUAUGAUCAAAAAAUGAGUUAAUAUAAUAUAAAAAUUAAACAACAAUUAAGAAUUCAACGAAUUGGUAAUUAUUGUGAAUUAGAAUAUAUAAUUCUAAUAGAUAAUAGCAAUUCACAUUGAUAUCCUAUAUGAAAAUAUAUCUUUUUCCCCUCAGUAAUGGCAAUCCACCAAGGCUGGGGAGGAGAACACUAGAGCUUGUUUUGUGGAUGCAAAUUGGAACUUGGAUUCACGGUGGUGAUGGUCUUCCUCCGGCGCCGGAAGGUUAAGAUCUAAAGACAAAAUGUUUCUUGGCUUGAUCUGAUCAUCACUAUUAAUAUGAUUCGAAUCAGUGGUGGUGAUAGCCACUUGAUUAUUACUGCCUGUGUUAGCUCUGUGUCUCCUCAUGUGACCUCCAAGGGCUUGACCAGAAGUGAACUCAGAGCCACAAAUUGAACACUCAUGAAUCUUGGCCUUAUUAUUACCAAGAAAAUUAAAACCCUUGUUAGAUAUCUGAAGAGAACGAGGAGGUUGAGGUUGAAGAUGAUGAAGAUGAUCAGAACUAGAAGUAGUACUGCUACUUUUAUUCAAUUGGCAAUCUUCAAGAUCGUCCAACAAUGGUAAAGCCAGAAGACCCUUCUUCUCUUCGACUAUGGACUUAGGCUUUUUGUGACUUGCUCUGUGACCACCUAAUGCUUGGAAGGAAGGGAAGGUACGGUUACACGUUUUGCACUCAUAAACAUAGAAAUCAGCCUUGUUUGUUGUAGCAGAAGCAUCAGAUAAUUUUCUUGCACUCACCUGCUCCUUCCUUCUGGGACCGUCACCUUGAGCUAAUAAAAUCAGGCAAUUAGCCAUAUCUUCUUCUUCUUCCGUGCUCUCAUAAAUCUCACUACAACUUGCAGGAGAGGAAAUUGAACCAUGUUCCUCUACAACAAAUCCUGUUUCUCCUCCCCCGCCUGAACCACCAAAACCACUGGAUGAGCUAGAGGUGAUGGCGGAUGAUGACCUCAGCCGCUUUGUACGCUUGCCUUUAACGAUCUGAGAAAGAUCAUUAGAGCCCAUGAAUUCUUCUUGAGCUUCCAUGUCCAAAUGAUCCACAGAGGAAAAGAGAGCAAGAAGUGAGGAGAAAGAAAAUGAGAGAAAUGGGAUAUGUACAAGUGACCUAACAAAUGAGGGGGUGAUAAUUAGGCAGAGAGAACUUAUAAAAAGAAGAUAAUAAGAGAGAGUAAUGAGAGAAGCAAAGGUGGGGAUAGUGGAGUUUGUUAUAUAUAGUGAAUGGCAACCAUU
rnacentral:misc_RNA from 1 species